AAACUUCUUCCCCUUCUCACACAUACUACCCUGUAAAUAACAGUGACACUGCAGUGUCCUUUGAAGCUUUUUUGGUGAGAGAUUGAACUUCAGAUGAUGUCGAAAAUGGUUUGUCUCAACCUCAAAACAGAGCAGCAUUUAGAAUUAGUGCUCUGUAGGUAAGGAGAUUGAACUUUUAUGUGUGUAUAUAAUUAUAUUUUAUUCAGCUCAGUAUUUGGAAUCCUUCUAGUUCAUUCAAAGUGUUUCAUAUUGUAGAUAAGUUCCCUUCCUUGAUGCCCAAAUCAAGCACCGGACCCGGUAUACAAGAAAACUCUAGCAGGUUAGUUCUAUGCAUACAGACUAGAAAAGAAAAUGAUUUCCAACUGUUUGCAAGUUCUGUUCUUUUACUCUAUUGUUGAUGACAUUGAUUUCUAUGAGUAAUACAAUCUAAAUUCCGUUUACUACAUGUGCAGCUUGCUGGAUGUUUUUGCUAAUCUAAGUUCCGGAAGAACUACUACCAAUUUUGUAUCAUUCGGGCUAUCAAGUUCUGGAAAUAUGACUUCUGGACUCAGUUCAUCAACCAGUAAUCCAUCUGCGAAUAAUUCACAAGGUUCUCUAUUCGGUGGUGCCAGUAAAUCUUUUGUGCCUGCUGUUGGAGCAGACACAGACUGCAUUCUCUCCACCUUCACCUAGAAAGCAACACGUGCGAGACACAGAAUUGGGAAGCUCCUACUGUCUGGGUUAUGUUUAUAGUGUAUGAAAAUGUGCUAAAUAUGUUUAAACUGCAUCGAUUAUGAUUAGAGUUUCAUUGUUUUGAACUCAUGUGAUCUUUAUUAACAUGCAUUUCGGUGUAGGUGAUUACAUUUGUAUUCUAC
rnacentral:lncRNA from 1 species